rnacentral:tRNA from 19 species
GGAACGGUGUCCGAGUGGUUGAAGGAGCACGCCUGGAAAGCGUGUAUAGGUGCAAGCUUAUCGAGGGUUCGAAUCCCUCCCGUUCCGCCA